rnacentral:misc_RNA from 1 species
AUGUUUGCCAAGUCGAAAAGUAGUGGCUCGACACCGAGCGUUCUACUUCCUAAUCCUCUUCAGAAUUUGUACGACGUUGGCAAACAAACGGCUACAGCAGGACCCGAAAACGCCUGGCGUAUAUACAAUGGAUACACGAAAGCGGAUCGAAAGGAAGUCUCGAUAUUUUUCUUCGACAAAAGAUCGGUCGAUAAACUUCACAAGCCGAAGCGGAAAGAAGCGGUUACGGAAAUUUUACGAAACGGAGCACGACAAAUGGAACGAGUUUCUCAUCCAAAGAUCCUGCAGGCAUACAAGGUGGAAGAAUGCGCUGAUAGUUUGGCAUUCGCGUCGGAGCCAGUUCUCGCUAGUCUUGCGAACGUUUUAGCUUAUCAAGAGCAACGAGCGAAUAACGUCGGCCAAUCGUCGACUAACGUAACGAAACAAACUUCUUCAACCCCUAGUCAUCGUGCUCCGUUCACGAAAGAGUACGAGUUACUCGAUAUAGAGAUCAAAUAUGGAUUGUUGCAGAUCACAGAGGCUUUACUUUAUCUUCACGGAACACGCAAAGUCCUUCACAGGAACGUUUGUCCCGCGAGCAUUAUAAUUACCAAAAGGGGCACUUGGAAAUUGUCAGGUCUCGAAUUUAUCGAAAAAAUGAAGGAGUUGCCAAUGAUAUCGUUGCAACCUUGGACCAAUCGCAUGUCAAAAAUGACGCAACCGAAUCUCGAUUACAUAGCACCGGAAAUACAGCAAAAGAAAGAGGGGGGCUUCUAUAGCGACAUGUACAGCUUUGGUAUGACGAUAUGCGCAAUUUUCAAUCAAGGGCGACCAUUGAUUCAAGCGAAUCAUAACUGUUCCGAGUAUUUAAAACAAUUAGAAAACCUCGAAGAACAAGUUCAUGUGAUAUUACCUUUAGUUCCCCUUCCUCUUCGAGAAGCUGUUUCUCGACUUUUACACAUCGAUCCAGAGAAGAGGCCAACCAUUCAAGUUUUAUCCAUGAUCAAGUAUUUUCAAGAUCCACCCGUAUACGCGCUUCAAUUUCUCGAUGUCAGUAAGAUGAAAGACGCGUUGCAAAAGGAGCAUUUUUAUACAACUACUUUAAAAGGAAUAUUACCUUAUAUACCAAGGAAACUUUGGUAUCAACAUAUUUGGACGUAUCUGCAAACUGAAUUGGAAAGUGAAGAAGUUCAAUCGGCUGUACUACAACCGGUACUUUAUAUCGUGCAAAAUAGUACACAAGAGGAAUACGAUCAAAUUGUAUUUCCAUCGUUACGAUCGCUUUUCUCGAAUCGUAAAUCGGUUCACGGAACGGUUACGUUGCUGGAAAAUUUGCAUUUGAUAUUAAAAAAAACAUCUCGAGAAUAUAUAGAAAGCGAAGUGCUUCCGAUGUUGUACACAUCCUUUGAGAAUUCAACUACUCAAGUGCAGACUGCAGCGUUCGUAGCCGUUUCGAAUGUGACUGAUUACAUACACGACGAGGCUGUUCGAAACAUCGUGUUGCCGAAAUUACUUCAAGCAUUUGAAAAAAAUUUAGUGGAUUCCCGAAUACUUAUGAACGUGAUACCCUGUAUUUUAAAUCGUUUGGAAAAGCAAAAAAUCAUCGAUUGUAUCUUACCAUUAUUGUUCAAUGUAAAACUUCAAGAACCGGAGAUAAUCGUACGGGUUGUGAAGAUUUACAGAUUAAUGUUAAACGACAAAAAAUAUGGAUUAUCUGUGAAUUGGAUGGCAACUAGAGCAAUGCCUUCUUUACUACCUCAAACUAUUAACCCAGCAUUGAAUCUCGAGCAGUUUGAACUACUUCUCAAAGUGUUACAAGAUAUGUUGAAUCACAUCGAAAGAAAUCAAAGGAAUCAAUUGACGCUGGAUAAUUUGUCAUUAUCGAGCCCGGAACGGUAUCGAAGUUUGCGACAUCAACACAGUACGGACAAUAUGUACGUUGCCCCCUUUAAUAUACCAAAUCUACGUAUCGAGCAACGUAAAACUUCUUCUGCUGAAGACAUGGCUCGGAAAAAUAGCACGAAUUCGAUGUCGACGACAGUUUCAGCUGAAAAUAUGGCAAGAAAAAACUCGAUGAUAACCAUGUUCAGAUGGUUCUCAUCAUCGAACAACGAUAACAGUAAUUUCUUAAAAGUGACGAAUACAUUUACGAGCAGACGGUUAUCGGAUAACACUUUGAUGACACCGAAAAUACGGGUAGCACCAUCGUGCGAAAGUUCCCCAGGUGCUACACCAGGUGAUGGAUUACCCAUUCGACGACACUCGAGCACCGGUCCUCAAGACCGACGGGGAUCUAACAUAAAUUUAUCGCCCCCCUUGGGUGGAAUGCCGAUUACCAGUAGCAGUGUUCCGUACCUGGUUAGCUCGAGCAUGAAUAGUAUACGCGGCUCGAGACGUCCUUCGGUCUCUUCAACAUCUUCCCAACAAGGACUGUUGCAGCAGGUUGGCUCCAGCAUGUAUCAAUUCUUCAAUAAACAAUUCGAUGGUUAAAUCUUUCGUCGACGAUCAAGUUUCGUAGGAUAUUUACAUUAAAAUUAACAACGUAAGGAACAAUUGGUUACCGUCCGUGCUACGAAAGGAGACAUAGAGGAACGAAAAAAAAUAAUUUUAUAACCAUCUCCUGUUAACGAUAAAAUGGCAACAGAGACUGAUUGUUUUUCUGGAGUAUUAUAUGACACUAGAAAGCAAAGUGUCCUUAAGGUGUUCGGGAUAAGAAUUAUUUCACGUUUGUGCUUGAUCAUAAUUCUGAUCGUACAGAAAUCGUUAAAUAAUGCGUGGACAAUCGUGGACAAUCUAAUAGGCAAUCUUGGACAAUCGUCGACAAUCAGAAACGAACAGGAAAAAAUCGAUACAAACGAAUUGUAAUGACGUGUUCGUGUUCUUACGAAUUAUCUUUUGAUAAUUAUUCAACAAAAUUGUAAUUUAUCAAAAGUAUUUGAACGUGCAUAAUACAUUGUGAACUCGAUACAUUGAAUCAUCGUUGAGAA